rnacentral:sRNA from 1 species
GCGCCGCGUGGGAGUGAGGGCCUGGGUGGAGGAGAACCGGGGCUCCUUCCAGCCCCCGGUCUGCAACAAGCUCAUGCACCAGGAGCAGCUCAAAGUCAUGUUCGUCGGAGGCCCCAACACCAGGAAGGACUAUCACAUCGAAGAGGGUGAAGAGGUAUUUUACCAGCUGGAGGGAGACAUGGUUCUCCGAGUCCUGGAGCAAGGGAAACACCGGGAUGUGGUCAUUCAGCAGGGAGAGAUAUUCCUCCUGCCUGCCAGGGUGCCCCACUCACCACAGAGGUUUGCCAACACCGUGGGGCUGGUGGUUGAGCGAAGGCGGCUGGAGACCGAGCUAGAUGGGCUCAGGUUCUUCAGCUCUGAGCAGUACAGAACAGGAAAGCCCAUCCCUGGUGAUCGCCUAUGGGCAAGGCAGCAGCGAAGGCAUGAGACAGAAUGUGGACGUGUGGCUGUGGCAGCUGGCAAGUGGGGCCCAGGGACAGGGUUGCAGAACCCCCUGCCAGAGGGCAGCAGCCCGCUCCUGGGCCCUGGGCUCCCACACGGGGCCCACUCUUGGGGCCUUGGGGCCCAGGCAGACUCAGACAUUCACCCAGGUGAUGAGGCCCAACAGUCUCCAUUUGAUUCUCCUGCUCCUCUUCUCCAGGAGGGCUCCUC